GUGGGGAAUCUUGCACAAUGGGGGAAACCCUGAUGCAGCGACGCCGCGUGAGUGAUGAAGUCCUUCGGGAUGUAAAGCUCUUUCGACAGGAACGAUAAUGACGGUACCUGGAGAAGAAGCUGCGGCUAACUACGUGCCAGCAGCCGCGGUAAUACGUAGGCAGCAAGCGUUGUUCGGAAUUAUUGGGCGUAAAGAGUAUGUAGGCGGUUCACUAAGUCUGAUGUGAAAUCUCCUGGCUUAACUGGGAGGGUGCGUCGGAUACUGGUGGGCUCGAGUACGGGAGAGGGAAGCGGAAUUCCUGGUGUAGCGGUGAAAUGCGUAGAUAUCAGGAGGAACACCGGUGGUGUAGACGGCUUCCUGGACCGUAACUGACGCUGAGAUACGAAAGCGUGGGUAGCAAACAGGAUUAGAAACCCCUGUAGUCC
rnacentral:rRNA from 1 species